UAAAUCUUAAUAAUGCUGUUAAUGUGUAAACUAUUUAUUUGACGUUCAUAAGUGUUACUGUGUGACCUACAUGAAUAAAUUAUUUUGAUUUUGAUUUUACUACGUACCAUAUUCAUUUGAGA